rnacentral:rRNA from 1 species
UACGGAGGGGGCAAGCGUUGUUCGGAAUUACUGGGCGUAAAGGGCGCGCAGGCGGCUGCUCAAGUCAGGCGUGAAAGGCCUGGGCUCAACCCGGGAAUUGCGCUUGAGACUGGGCUGGCUUGAGUGCGGGAGAGGAUGGUGGAAUUCCCAGUGUAGAGGUGAAAUUCGUAGAUAUUGGGAAGAACACCGGUGGCGAAGGCGGCCAUCUGGACCGCAACUGACGCUGAGGCGCGGAAAGCGUGGGGAGCAAACAGGG